rnacentral:rRNA from 1 species
UACGUAGGGAGCAAGCGUUGUUCGGAUUUACUGGGCGUAAAGGGCGCGUAGGCGGCGCGGUAAGUCACUUGUGAAAUCUCUGAGCUUAACUCAGAACGGCCAAGUGAUACUGCAGUGCUAGAGUGCAGAAGGGGCAAUCGGAAUUCUUGGUGUAGCGGUGAAAUGCGUAGAUAUCGAGAGGAACACCGGUGGCGAAGGCGGCAUCCUGGACCAACACUGACACUGAGGAGCGAAAGCCAGGGGAGCAAACGGG